rnacentral:rRNA from 1 species
GACGAACGCUGGCGGCGUGCUUAACACAUGCAAGUCGAACGGAAAGGCCCUGCUUUUGUGGGGUGCUCGAGUGGCGAACGGGUGAGUAAAACGUGAGUAACCUGCCCUUGACUUUGGGAUAACUUCAGGAAACUGGGGCUAAUACCGGAUAGGAGCUCCUGCUGCAUGGUGGGGGAUGGAAAGUUUCGGCGGUUGGGGAUGGACUCGCUGCUUAUCCGCUUCUUGGUGGGGUAGUGGCUUACCAAGGCUUUGACGGGUAGCCGGCCUGAGAGGGUGACCGGCCACAUUGGGACUGAGAUACGGCACAGACUCCUACGGGAGGCAGCAGUGGGGAAUAUUGCACAAUGGGCGGAAGCCUGAUGCAGCAACGCCGCGUGCGGGAUGACGGCCUUCGGGUUGUAAACCGCUUUAGCCUGUGACGAAGCGUGAGUGACGGUAAUGGGUAAAGAAGCACCGGCUAACUACGUG